CUCUUAAUCGCACGAAUUCAUCUUGGUUAGUGUGCCGCGCUCCUUUCACUGCAGUGAAACGUUCAACCGCAAGGACCGUAACAACCCGGCACAAGGACCAGCGAGUCAAGUCGUCCUGCAGCUUCGCAGACUCUAUUUCAUCCAUUCAACUUGACGGCAGAAGGAGCAGCAGAAACGGUCAUUAAUUACGUUAAGGAGACGAGCAUCGAUCACGCAGAGGGACGAACGGUUCAAGGGGCGGUUUUAAAGCACGAUUUUAGAGCUUCGCAGCGUCGAGGAAAUUUCGGAGGAUGGAUACUCGAUCAUUAAACCUGAUGGAAAGAAUGAAAGAGGACGAGCAAAGAA